UUGGUUUUGGUGUGCGAAGAAGAAAAGGAGAAUGGGGACGGCGGUUGAUGGUUGCGUCAGUCGGAGGUUGUCGUGGGAUGCUGGCGCGGUUGUAAUGGCGAUGACGGAGGAAGGUGAAUGGAAGAAGAGGAGAUGAACACUGGAUUUUGUGAGAAGAGCCCCAAGUCCUUUUUUUUGUUUUUUCUUUCUUUUCGUUUUCAAAGAGAAAGAGAGUUUUUUUAUUUUCG
rnacentral:lncRNA from 1 species